ACCUGGUUGAUCCUGUCCAGUGGGCAUACGCUCUUUUUAAAGAUUAAGCCAUGCAAGUGCUAGUUCAUACAUUUUAAAUGUGAGACUGCGGACGGCUCAGUAUAUCAGUUAUAAUCUGCUCGAUUGUUCAGGUUAUUGGAUAACCGUGGGAAAUCUAGAGCUAAUACAUGCACCUUUGGUGGCUUGCUACCAUGGCAUUUAUUAGAUCAAUACCAACCGAGUGUCUCGGCACUCGUGGUGAAUCUAGAUAACUUUGCAGAUCGUAUGGCCUUGAGCUGACGACAUUUCGAUUGAAUUUCUGCCCUAUCAACUCUGUUGGCAGUGUAGUGGACUGCCAAGGUUUUUACGGGUAACGGGGGAUCAGGGUUCGAUUCCGGAGAGGGAGCCUGAGAAACGGCUACCACAUCCAAGGAAGGCAGCAGGCGCGAAAAUUACCCAAUCCAGACAAUGGGAGGUGGUGACGAAAAGUACCAAGUGAGUAAUAUCAGCUUGGAAUGAAGACAAUUUAAGAAAUUGGUUUGAGUAACGACUGGAGGGCAAGUCUGGUGCCAGCAGCCGCGGUAAUUCCAGCUCCAGUAGCGUAUCUCAAAGUUGCUGCGCUUAAAACGCUCGUAGUUGGAUCACGCACUAUGCGUUGGUGUAUUCUUGAGACGAUACAUUAAGCCACUGUAGCUAGAUCAUUACGUUCUCGUGAUGCUUCAGGCCCAGUGGUGUGUCUCUCUAGGAUAAUCAGCCAGCCUAUAGUAAUUGCGCGUGAGGAUGACUAUUAACCUUGAGUGAGUUGAAAGUCGUGUCUCACGGGAUGUGCCUUGAGUAAAUCAGAGUGCUUAAAGCAGGCGAAUGCUUGAAUGUUGAUAGCAUGGAACGAACAAUCGUGUAUUUUGUGUACUGAUAACGGAGUGUAGGCUUCCAGUCUACAUCUCUGCAGUACACUACACCGACCACCAAUUACGGAUGUUGGUUCCGUAUUGGGGUACUGAUUAAGAGGAGCGGUUGGGGGCAUUAGUAUUUGCCGGCGAGAGGUGAAAUUCUUGGACCCUGCAAGGACUAACAAAUGCGAAGGCAUCUGUCCAGACCGUAUCCAUUAAUCAAGAACGAAAGAGAAAGGUUCGAAGACGAUCAGAUACCGUCCUAGUUUUCUCUGUAAACGAUGCCGACUCGGGGUCAGUCUGGAGUGCAUAUUCCAGCUCGAGGUUGGUCCCCCUAGGAAACUUGAAGUUUUUCGGUUGCGGGGGGAGUAUGGUCGCAAGGCUGAAACUUAAAGGAAUUGACGGAAGGGCACCACCAGGGGUGGAGCCUGCGGCUUAAUUUGACUCAACACGGGAAAACUUACCUGGUCCGGACAUGAGAAGGAUUGUCUGCGUUCAGCGCAUACAUGAUUUUAUGAUUGGUGGUGCAUGGCCGUUCUUAGUUCGUGGAGUGAUCUGUCAGGCCAAUUCCGGUAACGAACGAGACCACUAUCUCCAUUUUACGAGUUGGAGAAACGAGUGGGUCCCUCCGUUGGCCGGCAACGGUUACCGGUGUGGAUCUACGCGGUAGGCAGUGUGAGUUGCGGUUGCAAUUUUUGGUAUGGCAACAUGCCGGACGUUGUUGUCGUCUACUUGCACUCCCUCCUUCCAGACAGUGCAUUACCCGCAAGGGUCGUGUGCUGUAUCAUGGAGAGACAACGGAACAUAUCAAAAUCCGAGGAAGUGUGGCUAUAACAGGUCUGUGAUGCCCUUAGAUGUCCAGGGCUGCACGCGCGCUACAAUGGCAACGACAACGAGUAUCUGGAUCGAAAGAUUUGGGUAAUCUUGCAAUCGUUGCCGUGAUGGGGAUCGACGUUUGUAAAUACGUCGUGAAAGAGGAAUCCCUAGUACGUGCGAUUCAUGAGAUCGCGCGGAUUUCGUCCCUGCCCUUUGUACACACCGCCCGUCGCUACUACCGAGCGAAUGGUGUCAUAAUACCCCGGGAGCGGACGUCGCACUGGAACUUGUGUCUGGAGCGAUGCUGCGAUCGGCGUAGAAUGGCGCAAUCGAGAAGUUCGAGGAAGUAAAAGUCGUAACAAGGUUUCCGUAGGUGAACCAGCGGAAG
rnacentral:rRNA from 1 species